ACCACAACCUGAGGAUGAUCGGAUGAUGAGUGCGGUUUUGACUUGCAUUUCCCUGAUCCUGGAGUGGCUGCUCCCUGAAGAGAGUCCUGGUCCUAGGAAUCUGGGAUUCUACCUGAAGUCCCAAAGAUGAACAAAUGGUAGAGAGGCACCUGACUGAGCCUGCUUCCUAACCGACUUCUCAGAACUGCCUGCCGCUGGGCUGCCUAACAGAAGCUCAAGUUCUGGGAUUCCACCCUUGAAGAGAACUGAAUCUGCACUUAACUUAGUGCGCCCUGUAGGUCAGGACAUGUAGUUCUUGCUACCCUGAAGCUCACUAUGUACGACAGACUGGCCCCAACACACUGAGAUCUGCGUGGUUCUGUCUCCCCGGUGCUGAGAUCAAAGGUCGAGUUUAGGUCAAAGUUGUGGGCCCAGCCGAGAUGGGAGCAUCCCAGCCUUCCCAGGCACUCCCCCUCACUGUGAUGGACACCAGUGAAGGAACAUAGGAAGUCAAGUGUCAAUAACCUCCAACCUGAACCUUCAUGGCCACCUACCAUCCACAAGACAGAGCUGUGUAUAUUGGAGUCAGCUCUUCACCUGUGAUAUCAGCAGGGUCCGGAAGGGUGCUGAGCUUCCAUCAGCGAUGAGACUUAACAGGCAACAAACCCAAGGAGCGCUGUUGGCUUCCUACUGCCCAUACCCAUCUCUAGAAAGCAAACCAAUGGUGCGAGGUGCAGAACCUAGCCGAUUCUCUCCUCUCCCUCUCCUAAGCUCAGCAGCAGGGAGAGCUGACCUCCUGUUUUCACCUAGAAGCAGCAGAGCUGUGUGGGUCAGUCCCCUGCUUCCUGCCUCUCUGGACAAUGAAGUCUGCCAGGAGACUAAGUUUCAUUCCCUUUUGAAGGCAAUGGGUUUGCAAGAGUCAGGGCAUAUCUUUCCUCAGGAGAGGAUUUCCCCCUAAUAAAAUAAAGGUGUCAU
ensembl:antisense C130080G10Rik RIKEN cDNA C130080G10 gene